AUAAAGUCACUUUCGUGGUAUAUUUUAUGUUAACCAUAGCUUUUUAUGGCUUAUUUAAAUUUUAACUUUAGUAUGAUGUAGUACUUAACAGGUUUUACACUGUGGGCCUAUUAAUUUGGGUUAAUCAUAUGACCGCAGUGGCUGGCACGAAUUUUACCAACUCUUAAUACUAACAUGACUUAGUCAAACAUUCGUUCACUGCUAUAUUUAAAAUUAAAAGUAGCUU